rnacentral:rRNA from 2 species
AAGGGUGGACAGCAGCUAUACAUGCAGUCGAACGAGUUCUCGUUGAUGAUCGGUGCUUGCACCGAGAUUCAACAUGGAACGAGUGGCGGACGGGUGAGUAACACGUGGGUAACCUGCCCUUAAGUGGGGGAUAACAUUUGGAAACAGAUGCUAAUACCGCAUAGAUCCAAGAACCGCAUGGUUCUUGGCUGAAAGAUGGCGUAAGCUAUCGCUUUUGGAUGGACCCGCGGCGUAUUAGCUAGUUGGUGAGGUAAUGGCUCACCAAGGCGAUGAUACGUAGCCGAACUGAGAGGUUGAUCGGCCACAUUGGGACUGAGACACGGCCCAAACUCCUACGGGAGGCAGCAGUAGGGAAUCUUCCACAAUGGACGCAAGUCUGAUGGAGCAACGCCGCGUGAGUGAAGAAGGCUUUCGGGUCGUAAAACUCUGUUGUUGGAGAAGAAUGGUCGGCAGAGUAACUGUUGUCGGCGUGACGGUAUCCAACCAGAAAGCCACGGCUAACUACGUGCCAGCAGCCGCGGUAAUACGUAGGUGGCAAGCGUUAUCCGGAUUUAUUGGGCGUAAAGCGAGCGCAGGCGGUUUUUUUAACUCCUCA